rnacentral:rRNA from 1 species
AUGGCGUCUCGGGGAGGAGGAGGAGGAGCGCAUGCUAGCCGGCCGCCGCUGAGGGUCGGGCGCACCAAGGAGUACCGCAUGGGCAGGGACACGCAGCUACUCGCCGCCGAGGGCUCGCCGGUGAGCCUCUUCGUUCUCUGUGGCGACCGGUUCGAGGGCUCGCAGCUGUUCCGCUCCGGCGAACUGUCGGUGCACAUGAUCCGGGUCGAGGGCCACCCCGUGUCCAUGGCCUCUUGCACCGUUGGAGACCACCAGUGGAUGCUCGCCAGGGACGCACUCGUUGCGCGUGUUGACGCCCGCGUCUUCGUCUUCGAGCUGCCGGGGUUCUUCUACGCAGUCGUCGUGCCGCCGGACGAAGCUGUUGGCGCCGGCGCCGCGGAGAGGAAAUGUGCCACACUGGCCGAGAUCUUCUCUCGGUUCUGCGCGUACCAGGAUCUCUCCAAUGCAGAAGGUGGAGAGGAAGCCGGUGACCAGCAGAGCCAGCACUGGAACCCAUGGGUUCGUGCACACGCUAGGAUACAGCGCCUCGGGAGGACCACCACGACGCCCGGCCGGGCAACCGCCGACGCGCCGGCCGCCAUCGGCAGCGCCAGACAGAUGGAGCGCGCCGUGCGCACGUCGGCCGUCGUGAAGCUGCUCAGCCGUUCCCUCCUCGCCGGCGCGCUCCAGCCCGCUCGGCACCUGACAAUCACCCUCGGUGCCGGUGUCGGCGCUGGCGCUGUUCGCGGCACAAGCGCACUCCCCACUGCCUUUGCGGCGGCGCUGCCGAGUAAGUCCGUCGUGUCCGACCUGCUCGAAGCCAUCGAGACGAGCCGGACGAACGGGCCGCGCCGCGAGGCACGCCGUGGCAACGGCCUGGGGUGGUGGAGCCUCAACGUCGAGGGCGUCAUGAUGCUGCUCAGAGUCGUUCAGGCGAUCCGGGGCAGGAGGCUGCCAGCGGCUCUGGGUGUGGGCACGAAGAGACCGCGCGAUGAUGGGAACGGAGGCGCCGGGCACCAUGGUCUCAAAGGUGGCAGCGGCGUUGGACCGGCGCUCGGCGGCAGCGGGGCACGUCGGUGGUGCGGCGGGAAGCAGAGGAAGCUGGGGAACACGGUGGGUGCAUGGGGAAGCUCUUGA